GGGGGGAUACCGAAGUGGUCAAACGGGGCAGACUGUAAAUCUGUUGGCUUAUGCCUUCGCAGGUUCAAAUCCUGCUCCCCCCACCA
rnacentral:tRNA from 2 species